GUCUACGGCCAUACCACCCUGAACGCGCCCAAUCUCGUCUGAUCUCAGAAGCUAAGCAGGGUCGGGCCUGGUUAGUACUUCGAUGGGAGAAGGAAGGGAAAUUAAUGUAUAAU
rnacentral:rRNA from 1 species